rnacentral:rRNA from 1 species
GAUGAACGCUGGCGGCGUGCUUAACACAUGCAAGUCGAACGAUGAAGCCCAGCUUGCUGGGUGGAUUAGUGGCGAACGGGUGAGUAACACGUGAGUAACCUGCCCUUAACUCUGGGAUAAGCCUGGGAAACUGGGUCUAAUACCGGAUAGGAGCGUCCACCGCAUGGUGGGUGUUGGAAAGAUUUAUCGGUUUUGGAUGGACUCGCGGCCUAUCAGCUUGUUGGUGAGGUAAUGGCUCACCAAGGCGACGACGGGUAGCCGGCCUGAGAGGGUGACCGGCCACACUGGGACUGAGACACGGCCCAGACUCCGACGGGAGGCAGCAGUGGGGAAUAUUGCACAAUGGGCGCAAGCCUGAUGCAGCGACGCCGCGUGAGGGAUGACGGCCUUCGGGUUGUAAACCUCUUUCAGUAGGGAAGAAGCGAAAGUGACGGUACCUGCAGAAGAAGCACCGGCUAACUACGU